rfam:Zea mays cultivar B73 chromosome 4, whole genome shotgun sequence.
ACUCUCGUAUUCACUUCAAGCCAUGUGUAUUUAGGUGGAUUGGGAUGUAACUUAAACUAAUUUACACCACAAUCCACCUCAAUACAUAUGGAUUGAGGUGAAUACAAGA